CUAAGACAGUGUGUUUUUACAGGUUUCUUUGCAAGAAAGAAGUCAAAGGAAUCAAACUACGAAAGGACUGAUGCGGAGGAGCAUUGGUCUCGUAUCGUCAUGCAUUGACAACUGCAUCGUGCCUUUAUAAUAAUAAUACUGGGUUAGUCAGCACUACAUAUUUAGCAAUGACAGGAUUAGAUAUAAUUUUCGUACAAGGGAUAGGUGCCUACCUUACUCCUGAACAAAUUACGGACAAGAGUAGCUUGAUAGCUUCGGCUAUUUUAUAGUCAAAAUAUAUGUAUAAAGAGUUUAAUGUAAAUAAUAGUUUUUAUACUCGGAAAAUUCAUGACUGUGAAAACGCUGUGUCGUCAAAUAUUACUUUUUUUUAGUGUAAUCGUAACAUAAUUUUGUUUUUCAGACGAUUCACUCAAAUUCGUACAAGAGAUUACUGGCUUUUUGCUGGUUCAGCAAGGCUUGACAAUAAUGCUACUUUCCUUUUACAAAGUAUAUCAAGCUUCACAGUACACCCCAAAGACUAUAAAACCACUUGACUGCGCAUACAGUGCCCCGACGCUCGCCAAACAUUAGAGAUUUAGCUCUUAUAAGGCUACAAUCCUAGUAAAAAGCUUUAGUUGUGACCAAGUCUAUGACCUGCGUACACGCUAAAUUAUUGUGGAUUUUAUUAAGUAAAAAAAUUUAAAGAUGCCUAAAUGAGCAGUGAAAUGGUUCGAAAAACAAUCCAGGACAUCUAGUUACAAAAGGGAUGGCAUUACUUUUCAUCGCUAAGUAUCAAUACCAAAAUUUGGCUUUGAUUUAAUUAUAUUACGAAAAUUGGUAUUUUCUAUUUAAAGGGGUCUAUUUCAAUUGGUGGUUGGUGAACCGCGCGCCUGCUCGUUGAUGUCUUUUGGGAAAGUCCCUUUCUUUCAUUAAGAAAUUCUAAUACGUCCAUCUCUUUCUUGCCCUUUGUAUUCCUAUCGAAGAAAUUUGGGUUGUUACCUUUAAAGAUGAAGUGAAUAUCGAUAAUAGUACAUUUACAUUUAUUAAAAAAUAUGUUUGAUUUUGGCCAAUGAGUAAAUUAACUGUCGAAUAAAACAGGUAAUCGAAAAAAAAAAUAUUUUCAUUUUAGAUUUCCGAAGAUUCCAGAAAUAAAAGAGAGGUACUAUCAAUAGGGAAAAUUGGUUUCCAACAAAAUACAACGUUGUUUGCUCAAGGCACUUCACCCCCGACUGUUUAGAAUAUUUAAAACAAUUCCGAUGUUUAUUUAGUUAGCGAUUCCAACAAUGUAUACUAAAUUAAUACAUUUUAAGAAUCAAUAAUUUUCUUGUACGGAUUUCUUUUUUGUAAUAGACUGAUUUUUAUUAAAUAUUCUUAUACUUUUUUUAUUGAGUAUUUAUUACUACGAUGAAAUACAUUUUAUCGAUUGUUUUUUUAAUUGAAAGAGAGCCAUCCCUUUCUGAACGUACUCGUGCAACUCGACCUUGAACUGACCAAUAGUAGCCGCGGAUUAUGUCGCGUCCCCCGGCCCGCAGCGGUGAGUCGUGUUCUUAGAAGAAAUUGGCGAGUGCGCUCUCUAGUGGUUAUUUACUUUAUGGUACACCCCCAGUUUAAUCCACGUGUACGAUUUGUCAAUGACAUAGCAAUUAUUACUGCCUUUUCAAAUUUUCCAACCGAUAGGGUAAUGGUUUUAAACUUGCCUUAUGCGGACGUCAUAACCACCCAAUAUAUGUGUCAUUCUCCCGGCUGGGGAGGCUACGAUAGCUCAACUAAUGCGAGUGUUAACUUGUUGUACACGACGAGCUAUCCGACGACAAACAGUCCGUGUUCCACUUUCUACCGUAACCAGAGCAUUGCGAUAAAUAUGACACCAAACAUGCUGUGUGCUGUACCUUACACAAACACCU
rnacentral:lncRNA from 1 species